rnacentral:rRNA from 1 species
AUAAGACCAAAGAUUUAUCGCCUGGGGAUGAGCCCGCGUAGGAUUAGCUUGUUGGUGGGGUAAAGGCCUACCAAGGCGACGAUCCUUAGCUGGUCUGAGAGGAUGAUCAGCCACACUGGGACUGAGACACGGCCCAGACUCCUACGGGAGGCAGCAGUGGGGAAUAUUGGGCAAUGGCCGAGAGGCUGACCCAGCCAUGCCGCGUGCAGGACGAAGGCUUUCUGAGUCGUAAACUGCUUUUGACAGGGAAGAAUAAGCGGGUCGUGACCCGUGAUGACGGUACCUGCAGAAUACGCACCGGCUAACUCCGUGCCAGCAGCCGCGGUAAUACGGAGGGUGCGAGCGUUGUCCGGAUUUAUUGGGUUUAAAGGGUGCGUAGGCGGCCCGUUAAGUCCGGGGUGAAAGCCCGUUGCUCAAC